UAAUAAGUGUUUUAUGGCACUUUUUAAAUCCAUAUCCACCUUGUGUGCAAUGUCAGUCGAUCCUCUUCAUGGAGAUCGACCAAACAUCAACCUUUAUCUUUUAACUCUUUGUCUGAAAAAUAUUAUGAAUAAACAAUUCAAAAUA
rnacentral:misc_RNA from 1 species